CAGUAGCCGCGGGAAUACGGAGGGUGCAAGCGUUAAUCGGAAUUACUGGGCGUAAAGCGUGCGUAGGCGGCUUUUUAAGUCGGAUGUGAAAUCCCUGAGCUUAACUUAGGAAUUGCAUUCGAUACUGGGAAGCUAGAGUAUGGGAGAGGAUGGUAGAAUUCCAGGUGUAGCGGUGAAAUGCGUAGAGAUCUGGAGGAAUACCGAUGGCGAAGGCAGCCAUCUGGCCUAAUACUGACGCUGAGGUACGAAAGCAUGGGGAGCAAACAGGAUUAGAUACCCCCGUAGUCCCUGUCUCUUAUAA
rnacentral:rRNA from 1 species